UGUCGAUAUAAAAGCGUCAAACACUCAAUUGUCCAACAUCUGCUUGUCCAUGGCGGUGUGAUCGGCACUGUUCUGGAGGCGCCAAAUUCCAUGGAAGCCUGCAAAUAUCAGUUGGUUGAAGUCGGUACCUAAAGUCGUUCCCUAAUCUCUUUGGAUUCGUACAAUCUGUUACUUUGCGUUUUGGUUUUGAGUGUUGCAUUCUCUGUUCUUUUGCCGUUUUUGAUUUGGUAUUAAUCUGCUACCGGUUGCUGUCCCGUGUCUAUGAUUCUUUGUUGUGUUGCUGACUUUCUCUGCAUGGAUACAUGUGCACAACAUCUGUUUGACAAUAUGCCCAUAAGAUAAGAGCAAUAAAAAUCAGUUGUCUAAAUUUUCUGCGUGAUUGAGCUACCCAUUAUUGGAACUAUUUGCUGUUCUAGUUUUACUCUUAAGAGUAUGAAUAUAGACCGAAGAUGUCAACAUGCUGAUAUCGCUUUUUUAAGAUUAUCAUAGCAGCAUACACAAAAGCCAAUAUUAAUGCAUAGUUUUUAUUGAAUAAAAUAUAAAAUUUAACAUGUAAAAAUGCAAGAAGAGUUAAAAUAUUUAACUGAUAUUUUGUACUAGUUUGUUCAAUUUUAUUGUGCUAUCAUAACAUGAGAUUCUAUUUAAUUUUUGUGUUUUUAUUUUUGCUUUUGCUUUUUCUUUUUAUUUUUUUUAAAUCUUGUGGUUCACUAUGUUGAUUAUCCAUUUAGCAUUUCAGGCUAUUUGUUUGAGGGGCACGGUUGGCCAUCUUCAACUAUCUCCGAGACACCUCCUGAGGACAAUGCCGACAGAGCAAUGUUAAUUGAUACUCUCUAGGUACUUUAUUCAAUUUGAUGAUCAAGUCAUAAACGCAUUGAGGAAUUCUAUUUUUUGGUUUUGAUAUGCGAAAAGGGACUGGAAGACUGAAAGAUACAAGGAAAUUAUCAAAUCUGGAACUGUGGAGUCCACACCCGGAGUUUUGAGAUUGAUGGAUGAGGCCAAGGCUGCUGUAAGAUAGGCAUUUACCUUAUAAGUGCAAUCGUCACUUUGUCAUGGCUCUUAAGUUUUUCAUUGUAUUUGCAUAUGUUAUCCACAGUUAAUUAGGUGUCCUGUGUUCAAAAUGUAUUAGAUCCAUUAAUUCCGGCAUUGUUGGCUGAUAAAAAUUGGAAGUUCAUUUUCAUUGAACAGGCAUUUUUCCAGCGAUGGUGGAGGGACCAGAGCGAGGCAGUCCAGAGUAUAACCAAGCAGUUUGUCAGCACAGAAAUGGUGGUUGCUGCAUGGAUGAUGAGGCGGCCUCACAUUAUAUUGACAAGAUAGAUCAGACUACACUUGGGCACUGGUUUAUCAAAGAGAAGUUCACUGUGACUCCAAGAGUUGGUUGGCAGAUUAAUCCCUUUGGUCAUUCUGCAGUGCAGGCUUACCUUUUGGGGGCAGAGGUUGGAUUUGACUCUUUUUUCUUCAGCCAAAUUGACUACCAAGACAGAGAUAAGUGAAAAAAUGAGAAGAGCCUUGAGGUUGUCUGGCAGGGCUCUAAGAAUUUUGGUUCAUCUGCACAGGUGAGUGACUCGGUGAUAUUUGUAGCAUAAACUAUAAAUGGCUCAAUUUUUGUUGCUCUCCCCAUUUUGUUUGGCCUCCACUGCAAGUAGAAACUUAUUAUUGCUUUGUGAGGUAACACCCCCCCCCCUCUCUCUCUCUCUCUCUCUCUCAUUGAAUCCAUGAACUUCAAGAAAAGAAACUCUUUACAAAAGUUGUCUAGAAUUAUGUAUACAUACAUUUGGAGGAUUAGUUGGAACUACGGUGGUGACGAAAAAUAUGGUUGUAAGGACAUGUCUUUUGAACUUCUUUUAUUUUCUGGAGUUUAGGGUCGUUAUUAGUUUAUUUAUUUAUUAUUUUUUUUAUGACUUUGGUAUUUUGAUAGUUUGGUAUUGUGGGUUAUUUUCUAACUUUACAUUAUUUAAGUUGUUUUGACUAUUUGUUGCUACUUUAAUGUUGGGAGGUAUUGGUUAGUCAUGAAUUUAUGAUGGAUGGUUUGGUUGACAUUUGUUUUUUUUUUUUUUAUCCCUUGUAUUUUUUUUUAGCAUUGAAAUUUACUUAAAUAGAUUGGGUCGAAAACAUUUCGAUUUUUGUUUCACCCUUAGGAUUUAGAUGAUGGAAUAUUAAUUGGGCUUUAGUUCUAAUUUAAUAUUUAAUUGUCCAAAUUUUGGGUGUGACACAAACCAAAUUUGAUGAGGCAAAAUCCAAGCAGAUCAAGAUAGAGAUAGAGGCGAAAGUCCAACAAUUCUGAAAUUGGUGAAGCAAAUUUGAUUUUGGCGGGACAAAGAGGCGGGAGCCAAAUAAUGAAGUGGGAGAUAUAGUUGUUCUAAAAAUUAUCAUUAGGCCAACAGAAAUAGUUGCAAUCGGAGCACUUAAAAGCAUAGACCAUCUAAAAAAGUAAAAGGGGAAGAACUAUGACCUGACUAUUGGGAGGUACAUGUUCAAGUGCCAGUCAAACCUAAUGAGAGCUUGAUUCGAUCAUAUGGACUUGUCAGAACAAUUAGACAAGCUAUUGGAGCUCAUGUUGCUUAGCCAACUCCAUUUGUGAUUUCGCAAGUUAUGGAUGCUAGCUGAGAAUAUUUAUACAAAUGAGGUUGAGAACUUGGAAACUGAAUUUGUUUUGAUAAUUUGUCUCUUCGAAAGAUGGAUAUCACUAUGGCUUUUCAGAAUUUAUGGUUGGAAUAAUUUUCUUUUAAAUUUUUUUUUGCUUUAACUUUGUUAGUGUGGUAGAAUAUUUUAUAAUUUUGAUUUGUAUUGCAAUAUACAUAAAUUUAUAUUCUUAGAUAAAAAAAUGA